AGGUCAUUUCAAAGAGAGCUUGUUAGACUCUUAACCAAGAGCCCUUGACAUUGUGACCAAAGAUUGAGGUUGUCCACAGGGUGAUAUGGUCACUCAGAGUGCUAUUUUUCUGAGGAGACAAAAAA